rnacentral:ncRNA from 1 species
GUUCUGGGCCGCACGCGCGCUACACUGAUGUAUUCAACGAGUAUAUAGCCUUGGCCGACAGGCCCGGGUAAUCUUGGGAAAUUUCAUCGUGAUGGGGAUAGAUCAUUGGUGUUGUUGGUCUUCAACGAGGAAUGCCUAGUAAGCGCGAGUCAAGCGCGAGUCAUCAGCGCGAGUCAUCAGCUCGCUCAUCAGCUCGCGUUGAUCAGCUCGCGUUGACUUUGACUACGUCCCUGCCGACUACGUCCCUGCCCUACGUCCCUGCCCUUUGCGUCCCUGCCCUUUGU